CACACCGCCCGUCACAUCACGAAAGUGGGUGAUACUAGAAGUCGUUUCGCCAACCCGCAAGGGGGGCUGACGCCCAAGGUAUGACUCAUGAUUGGGGUG
rnacentral:rRNA from 1 species